rnacentral:rRNA from 1 species
CCUACGGGCGACAGCAGUAGGGAAUCUUCCACAAUGGGCGAAAGCCUGAUGGAGCAACGCCGCGUGGGUGAAGAAGGUCUUCGGAUCGUAAAACCCUGUUGUUAGAGAAGAAAGUGCGUGAGAGUAACUGUUCACGUUUCGACGGUAUCUAACCAGACAGCCCCGGCUAACUACGUGCCAGCAGCCGCGGUAAUACGUAGGUGGCAAGCGUUAUCCGGAUUUAUUGGGCGUAAAGGGAACGCAGGCGGUCUUUUAAGUCUGAUGUGAAAGCCUUCGGCUUAACCGGAGUAGGGCAUUGGAAACUGGGAGACUGGAGUGCAGAAGAGGAGAGUGGAACUCCAUGUGUAGCGGUGAAAUGCGUAGAUAUAUGGAAGAACACCAGUGGCGAAAGCGGCUCUCUGGUCUGUAACUGACGCUGAGGUUCGAAAGCGUGGGGAGCAAACAGGAUUAGAUACCCUUGUAGUC